UGGCGGCGUGCCUAAUACAUGCAAGUCGAACGCACUUUCGUUGAAUGAAUUAGAGGUGCUUGCACCGAAGAUGAUUUUAGCUAUAAAGUGAGUGGCGAACGGGUGAGUAACACGUGGGUAACCUGCCCAGAAGUGGGGGAUAACACCUGGAAACAGAUGCUAAUACCGCAUAACAAAGUAAACCGCAUGGUUUACUUUUAAAAGAUGGCUUCGGCUAUCACUUCUGGAUGGACCCGCGGCGUAUUAGCUAGUUGGUGAGAUAAAGGCUCACCAAGGCAGUGAUACGUAGCCGACCUGAGAGGGUAAUCGGCCACAUUGGGACUGAGACACGGCCCAGACUCCUACGGGAGGCAGCAGUAGGGAAUCUUCCACAAUGGACGAAAGUCUGAUGGAGCAACGCCGCGUGAGUGAUGAAGGCUUUAGGGUCGUAAAACUCUGUUGUUGGAGAAGAACGUGUGUGAGAGUAACUGCUCAUGCAGUGACGGUAUCCAACCAGAAAGCCACGGCUAACUACGUGCCAGCAGCCGCGGUAAUACGUAGGUGGCAAGCGUUAUCCGGAUUUAUUGGGCGUAAAGCGAGCGCAGGCGGUCUUUUAAGUCUAAUGUGAAAGCCUUCGGCUUAACCGAAGAAGUGCAUUGGAAACUGGAAGACUUGAGUGCAGAAGAGGACAGUGGAACUCCAUGUGUAGCGGUGAAAU
rnacentral:rRNA from 1 species